rnacentral:rRNA from 1 species
UACGUAGGGCGCAAGCGUUGUCCGGAAUUAUUGGGCGUAAAAAGCUCGUAGGCGGUUUGUCGCGUCUGUCGUGAAAGCUUGGGGCUUAACCCCAAGUCUGCGGUGGAUACGGGCAGACUAGAGGCAGGUAGGGGAGAACGGAAUUCCCGGUGUAGCGGUGAAAUGCGCAGAUAUCGGGAGGAACACCGGUGGCGAAGGCGGUUCUCUGGGCCUGUACUGACGCUGAGGAGCGAAGGCGUGGGGAGCGAACGGG